AUCGAGCUGACGAGUCCCGAAUAGGACGAAACGCGCGUCCUGGAU
rnacentral:hammerhead_ribozyme from 1 species